GGGGGAUUAGCUCAGUGGUAGAGCAUCUGAUUUGCAUUCAGAGGGUCAGGAGUUCGACUCUCCUAUCCUCCA
rnacentral:tRNA from 1 species